CAAAUUGAGAGUUUGAUCCUGGCUCAGGACGAACGCUGGCGGCGUGCCUAAUACAUGCAAGUCGAGCGAGCUGAAUUCAAAGAUCCCUUCGGGGUGAUUUGUUGGACGCUAGCGGCGGAUGGGUGAGUAACACGUGGGCAAUCUGCCCUAAAGACUGGGAUACCACUUGGAAACAGGUGCUAAUACCGGAUAACAACAUGAAUCGCAUGAUUCAAGUUUGAAAGGCGGCGUAAGCUGUCACUUUAGGAUGAGCCCGCGGCGCAUUAGCUAGUUGGUGGGGUAAAGGCCUACCAAGGCAAUGAUGCGUAGCCGAGUUGAGAGACUGAUCGGCCACAUUGGGACUGAGACACGGCCCAAACUCCUACGGGAGGCAGCAGUAGGGAAUCUUCCACAAUGGACGCAAGUCUGAUGGAGCAACGCCGCGUGAGUGAAGAAGGUUUUCGGAUCGUAAAGCUCUGUUGUUGGUGAAGAAGGAUAGAGGCAGUAACUGGUCUUUAUUUGACGGUAAUCAACCAGAAAGUCACGGCUAACUACGUGCCAGCAGCCGCGGUAAUACGUAGGUGGCAAGCGUUGUCCGGAUUUAUUGGGCGUAAAGCGAGCGCAGGCGGAAUGAUAAGUCUGAUGUGAAAGCCCACGGCUCAACCGUGGAACUGCAUCGGAAACUGUCAUUCUUGAGUGCAGAAGAGGAGAGUGGAAUUCCAUGUGUAGCGGUGGAAUGCGUAGAUAUAUGGAAGAACACCAGUGGCGAAGGCGGCUCUCUGGUCUGCAACUGACGCUGAGGCUCGAAAGCAUGGGUAGCGAACAGGAUUAGAUACCCUGGUAGUCCAUGCCGUAAACGAUGAGCGCUAGGUGUUGGGGACUUUCCGGUCCUCAGUGCCGCAGCAAACGCAUUAAGCGCUCCGCCUGGGGAGUACGACCGCAAGGUUGAAACUCAAAGGAAUUGACGGGGGCCCGCACAAGCGGUGGAGCAUGUGGUUUAAUUCGAAGCAACGCGAAGAACCU
rnacentral:rRNA from 1 species